CAUCGCCCGAAUGAGUAGGUCGACGCUUGCGAAAACGGUCGAGCUAGCCGCUUAAAAUCCGACAAAUAGGAAUGUCACGCGCACGUUUAUCUGCACUGGAAGCAUAAAGUAAAGAUAUUCUCGGAUUUUCAAGAAGAUAAUGAAAUUAUUCAAUUUCCUAAUCACUUGAAUAAACUCAGCGUUAAUUACCGCAUCGCGCGAGAAGCGGACUUGUUGGCGGUUUAUUCGCAAUCUUGCGCGCGUCGACGAAAGACUGAUGGAACAUUUUAAUUAUUUCAAUGAGAGCCUCCAGCCUGGUUUAAAUUGCACGACUGUUGCGAUUAAUAAAUCAUUUCUUGAUUUGUUGUGUCGCUCGAAACCUGACCGUCAACGUAUAAAUCACCACGGAUUUGCAUAAUGCCGCUAAUCCCACCGAAUCUUAUUUAUCGCGCAUAAUGUUGAUGGAAAAAAAGCAGAGGAUCGAAAGCAAAAAAUAAUGAAUGCGAAAUUAAAGAGCUAUUAAACAGCAGCUAAACCAAACAUAUAAUGUUAUCCAUCAACACAAGCCGACUUGAUGGCGGCGCUUGCGCUUGAUCAAGAGAUUUGGAGUCAUCGAUCAAGAGCUCCUUACGAAUACGUCCUCCAGUUUACUAAACUCGCGAGGAACUUCGAAGCGAGACCCAAGUUCCGCAAGUAUCGAUACGCGCAGAAGCGUCCCAAUCAGCCCAAUAUUCAAAAUUAAACGUCCUAUCUUCUUUUUACUCUAAAUAUUCUGCGAAAAGUUUCACGAGAACGUUCGCGAGGAGAAUGAAACGAACUUGCGCAUUUUUCUUCGAAUCCCUCCGAAUAUAUAAUACUUCCCCAAAGAUAGACAGAUGUGCGUAAAUUUGGCAACUCUAUGAAUCGAUUUACCAAGAUUGCAUCUCUCAUGAGUAAUUUAUAUACAGUAAAAAAUAUUUUGUAUUUGUGUUACAACUGGUCCUCAUUAAUAUUUUUCUAUUAAACUUUUAAUAUAGCUAUAUGUUAAUUUAACAUGUUAGAUUUGUGUUAUCCGAUUUUGUGCUAUUGUAUUGACAUAUAUUAAUAUGUAAGCAUUAUAAUUAAACAUUUUAUAUUUUAAUACAGAUUAAUAUGUUAUAAAUUAGAUAUUAUAGAUAAUUUAUUAAUAAAUUAAUAGAUAUUAUAGAUAGUUUAUUUAUA